rnacentral:lncRNA from 1 species
CAUUAUGGCUUCCUCAAGGGUAGGUAUAGAAAGGUCAGGUUCAGAGGUAUGAGGUGGAGAGGUUGAAGGGCUGAGGUUGAGUGUUAGAGGUUCAGGUUCUGCUUCAGGUUGAGGUUCAGAUCUUUGGGGUGAAGAGUAAAGAGGGUUUAAGUCUAAUGGUAGAGGUUCAGUUUCAGCUUCAGGUUCAGGUUCAGCGGAGGUGUUUGGAGGGGUGAUAUCAGAGGUGUGGAGGUCAGAGGGUUGAGUUUCAGAAGGUUGGUCUUCAGAAG